rnacentral:rRNA from 1 species
GACGAACGCUGGCGGCGUGCUUAACACAUGCAAGUCGAACGCUGAAGCUCAGCUUGCUGGGUGGAUGAGUGGCGAACGGGUGAGUAACACGUGAGUAACCUGCCCUCUUCUUUGGGAUAACGCCCGGAAACGGGUGCUAAUACUGGAUAUUCACUGAUUCUCGCAUGGGGGUUGGUGAAAAGGUUUUUUCUGGUGGGGGAUGGGCUCGCGGCCUAUCAGCUUGUUGGUGGGGUGAUGGCCUACCAAGGCUUUGACGGGUAGCCGGCCUGAGAGGGUGACCGGUCACAUUGGGACUGAGAUACGGCCCAGACUCCUACGGGAGGCAGCAGUGGGGAAUAUUGCACAAUGGGCGAAAGCCUGAUGCAGCGACGCCGCGUGAGGGAUGGAGGCCUUCGGGUUGUAAACCUCUUUCGCUCAUGGUCAAGCCGCAGCUUUGGGUUGUGGUGAGGGUAGUGGGUAAAGAAGCGCCGGCUAACUACGUG